UUGGAGGGCAAGUCUGGUGCCAACAGCCGCGGUAAUUCCAGCUCCAAUAGCGUAUAUUAAAGUUGCUGCAGUUAAAAAGCUCGUAGUUGAAUUUCGGGACUAUCAUGUCGGUCGUGCCUCGGUACGUACUGGUAUUGUUGGUUUCUCCCUUCUGACGAACCAUGAUGUCAUUUAUUUGGUGUUGUGGGGAAUCAGGACUGUUACUUUGAAAAAAUUAGAGUGUUUAAAGCAGGCUCACGCUUGAAUACAUUAGCAUGGAAUAAUGAAAUAGGACGUUUGAUUCUAUUUUGUUGGUUUCUAGGAUCGGCGUAAUGAUUAAUAGGGAUAGUUGGGGGCAUUAGUAUUCAAUUGUCAGAGGUGAAAUUCUUGGAUUUAUUGAAGACUAACUACUGCGAAAGCAUUUGCCAAGGAUGUUUUCAUUAAUCAAGAACGAAAGUUAGGGGAUCGAAGACGAUCAGAUACCGUCGUAGUCUUAACCAUAAACUAUGCCGACUAGGGAUCGGAUGAUGUCAAUUUUUUAAUGACUCAUUCGGCGCCUUACGGGAAAC
rnacentral:rRNA from 1 species